rnacentral:rRNA from 1 species
GCCUAAUAGCUAGCCCAACCCCCUAAAAACAACAAACCACUAUUCAAUAACCCCACACACACCAACCAACACAAAACAAACCAUUUUUCCUUCCUAGUAUGGGAGACAGAAAAGAGACCACGGCGCAAUAUAAAAGUACCGCAAGGGAAAGCUGAAAGAGAAAUGAAACAACCCAGUUAAAGCUCAACAAAGCAGAGACUAAUCCUCGUACCUUUGGCAAUCAUGA